rnacentral:rRNA from 1 species
UACGUAGGGUGCGAGCGUUGUCCGGAAUUACUGGGCGUAAAGGGUUUGUAGGUGGCUUGUUAAGUCAGACGUGAAAUCCCUCAGCUUAACUGGGGAACUGCGUCUGAUACUGGCGAGCUUGAGUGCAGGAGAGGAACGCGGAAUUCCAGGUGUAGCGGUGAAAUGCGUAGAUAUCUGGAGGAACACCGGUGGCGAAGGCGGCGUUCUGGACUGCAACUGACACUGAGAAACGAAAGCCAGGGUAGCAAACGGG